rnacentral:rRNA from 1 species
CACGUAGGGCGCAAGCGUUGUCCGGAAUUAUUGGGCGUAAAGAGCUCGUAGGCGGUCUGUUACGUCUGCUGUGAAAACCCGGGGCUUAACCCUGGGCUUGCAGUGGAUACGGGCAGACUAGAGGCAGGUAGGGGAGAACGGAAUUCCUGGUGUAGCGGUGAAAUGCGCAGAUAUCAGGAGGAACACCGGUGGCGAAGGCGGUUCUCUGGGAAUGACCUGACGCUGAGGAGCGAAAGUGUGGGGAGCGAACAGG